CCGCGGGCACCUGGUCCGGGGAGAUGAAGUGGAUAUGGGUAUCGAUGCCGCCGGCGGUGACGAUUUUCCGUUCACCGGCAAUGAUUUCAGUGCUCGCGCCGAUCACGAUAUCCACGCCGCUGCUGAUGUCCGGGUUUCCGGCCUUGCCGAUCUUGAAAAUGUGGCCGUCCCGGAGCGCGACGUCCGCCUUGUAGAUUCCGGUGUAGUCCAGCACGAUCACGUUGGUGAUGACGGUGUCCGGGACGCCUUCAUCACGGGUGGCUUGGCCGUUCUGGCCCAUGCCGUCGCGG
rfam:Arthrobacter cupressi strain SW1 SW1_scaffold_11, whole genome shotgun sequence.